CUGAGGAGCGCGUCCGGGUCAAUUGCGGCCUGCAACACCCGAUCUCCCUGCCGGUGCCUCCAGGAAUGGAGGUGCCGCGCGAGGGGGAACGCGUGACUAUCAG
ncrna:unclassified sequences L4-Archaeoglobi ribosomal protein leader